UACGUAGGGUGCAAGCGUUGUCCGGAAUUAUUGGGCGGAAAGAGCUCGUAGGCGGUUUGUUGCGUCGGCUGUGAAAACCUGAGGCUCAACCUCGGGCCUGCAGUCGAUACGAGCAGACCAGAGUGUUGCAGGGGAGACUGGAAUUCCUGGUGUAGCGGUGAAAUGCGCAGAUAUCAGGAGGAACACCGGUGGCGAAGGCGGGUCUCUGGGCAACAACUGACGCUGAGGAGCGAAAGCGUGGGGAGCGAACAGG
rnacentral:rRNA from 1 species